rnacentral:rRNA from 1 species
UUGAACGCUGGCGGCAGGCCCAACACAUGCAAGUCGAACGGUAACAGGAAGAAGCUUGCUUCUUUGCUGACGAGUGGCGGACGGGUGAGUAAUGUCUGGGAAACUGCCUGAUGGAGGGGGAUAACUACUGGAAACGGUAGCUAAUACCGCAUAACGUCGCAAGACCAAAGAGGGGGACCUUCGGGCCUCUUGCCAUCGGAUGUGCCCAGAUGGGAUUAGCUAGUAGGUGGGGUAACGGCUCACCUAGGCGACGAUCCCUAGCUGGUCUGAGAGGAUGACCAGCCACACUGGAACUGAGACACGGUCCAGACUCCUACGGGAGGCAGCAGUGGGGAAUAUUGCACAAUGGGCGCAAGCCUGAUGCAGCCAUGCCGCGUGUAUGAAGAAGGCCUUCGGGUUGUAAAGUACUUUCAGCGGGGAGGAAGGGAGUAAAGUUAAUACCUUUGCUCAUUGACGUUACCCGCAGAAGAAGCACCGGCUAACUCCGUG